rnacentral:RNase_P_RNA from 1 species
CUAUUCAAUUUCAGACAAUCGCGCUGCUCUUUUCCGCUUGCGGAAAAGAAUGUGAGGAAAGUCCGGACUCCGAAUCGGGCAGGGAUGCCGGGAGAAAUUCCCGGAUUUUUUAAACGCAAGUUUAAAGAAUAGAAAGUGUCACAGAAAAGCAAACCGCCUCGCUUACGGCGCAGGUAAGGGUGAAAAGGCAGGGUAAGAGCCUACCAUUCAGAAAGUGAUUUCUGAGAUUGAUAAACCUCUUCCGGAGCAAGACCAUGUACAGGGAAUUUAAGUUCUGCCCGCUUGUAUCAUUCCCGGGGUAGGUCGCAAAAAGCCAGUCAGCAAUGACAGGAUAAGAUAAAUGAUUGUCGUCUUUUCGCUUUGCGGAAAGAAACAGAAUCCGGCUUACAGAAUUGAAUAGAGAU